rnacentral:lncRNA from 1 species
AUUGCCUCAUUUGACAAGGAUCUGGAGACAGCAGCUCGCUUUGGAUCCCAGAGAUGAUUCCAGAUGGAAAGAAGGAAGGAAAGGAGGGAAGAAGAACACAUUUAUAGAAACCAUGGAUUAUUUUUAAGUGCCUUAAAAUAUGGAUUCUGCAUCAGCAGUUGUGGGAAGAGGCAGGACUCUGUAUUUCUAACAAGACCACAGGUGAUGCUGACACUCAUGGUCCUCAGACCACACUGAAUGAUGAGGCCUUUCAACUCAGAAUCCAGACUUAAGACCAAAUAAGGAUCUUAUGGCUGAAAAGCUUCCAGGUACACUUCUCUGAGUAACCAGUACACUGGGGAAAAAGUGGAAACCAGGACUGUUCCAGGCAAGCCUAGCUGUUGGGGACCCUCCCAUACCAUGCGGCUGGCCAGCCUCUCCUGCAUAUAGCGUCCACCCCUAAUGAGAUCCUGGAAGAGCAUUGCCUGCUUGCCUUGUACACCCUCCUCAGUACUCAGGCAACCACGUUUCCUAGAGAUUAUCUCAAGAAAACCUCGAGGGACUUGUCAUCAGGUCUCAUGUCCAGGUGCAGAUCCCCUAGUUAUGGCCCCGAACAGAUACAUCCUCCUGCAAACAGGCUUUUGACGUGUACUAAGGAAGCUUUGGCAAUUUAUAUCACCCCCAGUAGUAUGGAUAUUAAAGGAUGUUAAUAUAUCAUUUAAUGUUAAUGUUGUCAGAAGCAGAAGGUGGAGCCAGCAAGCAAUUCAGCAGACAAGGGAAAUCAGCACCAUGAGCUCGCAUCCACAGCUGUUGCUGUCCCUGUGUCCUUGGGAAGAGCUACCUGAUGGAAGAAGGUCUCAUUUGAGUUUCUGCCCUGUUUUCUUCAUUUCAUCAAGUGUAGCUCUCCAUCUAUGAAAGCCAGCAACCCUCAGCUUGGCCACGCUGUGGGCACAAAGUCACACCAGCUGUAAAACCCACCUCUCACUGAAAAAAAAGCCCCUGGUGCUCAAACAGGAAGUCCAGUCUCUGCAGCUGCCUGAGAAGACUUUGUUCUGGGAGCCCCGUCUUCCCCAGAGGCAUCUGGCAAGAGUUCGCAAACCCCCCUGCCAGAAGCAUCACUGUGGGUAUCUGCUCUUUGCGCUUCCCACUGCUCUUCUGGGGAACUCUGCUUAAAAGCCGCCCACGGAAGCUUCGCAGUUUUUCCUGUUGCCAAUGCUAACCAAGAAAAAUCGAGUCUAAGCAGGGGCUGCCUGCCGAAGCCGCCUAGGCUGUUGCUUGUCCAGGGGCCAGCGUGGAGCCAGGUUCCAUGCAGAAGUGGGGAGAAAGGCUGUUUCCUCCGCCCUCUGCGCUGCUCUCCCAGGGGAAGCAGGGACUCUGGCUCACCAAUUCUGCAAGAAGCCACUUUAACUCUCAGUCUGCUCUGGCCAGCUUCCCCGCUUCAUGGUGCGGAUGCAGUGGCAGCCCGUCGAGUUCAUUCGCUACAGGAAAGGGGAUGGUAAAUGGACUGUUAAGAGGAAGCCGGUCCUGGCAGGGUGCUUUUGAUGGGCAAAAGGACAUGAUGACAGGCGCCGACGAAGCAUUCCUCUCCACCUUGUGGGAAAGAGCACAAGCCUGGAACAGGUGCAGUCACACACACACACACACACACACACACACACACACACACACACACACACACACACACACUGGAACUUGUAACUGCUUACUCAUCUCAAAUAACUUAAAGCAUGUCAUCACCACUCGAGGCCACAGGAAUGAAUCCUGCCACAGAGUGGAGAUCUGUUUUCUUCCUUAAAGCCCUCAGAGUGUUCUGCUUCAAUUCCCUGCAUGGGAUGUAGAUAUAUUAAAUACCAAAAAAAAUGACCAUAAAGUGAACAUUAUGGUUGAGAAAUGAGGUCCAAGGAUGCCAAGAAAUUCAAAACUGAGUGUUCCCCCAGCAGCUCUAACUCAGCCAUUUUUGCACUAAUGCGUCCUUUCCCAUUUCGGAAUCCUCGGUGGAACACCCAUUUCAUAUGGACUCUGGAUCCUUCAAUUGAGCCAGGGGAGGAAUGCCUGGAGUCCCUCUGUUCCUUCUCACUUCCUCAGGUCGUGGGAAAAACCCCCUCUCAGACCCUUCCACGGAGCCCUUGAACGGGGCCAGGCAUGGCACAGCAUGCUCUAGAGCCUGGAGCGGGGGCAGGGAGGGGGCAGCCUAGCCCCAGGAAGCUGGACCAGUUCCCUUCCCCAGCCGCUCCCUGAGAGCCAAGAGGCUAGUCCUGGCUCCACACAGCAACUGUAUCCAUGCUGAUAUGCAGGAUGCAUUAGUGGUUCCACACAACUGAUGUGCUCAGGCACCUCCAGGGUACAUUAGUGGAAGAGGCUUCAGCAGCUGGUGGCUCCUCUUCAGGCAUAAUUUAUCUAUUGCACUUUACUUAAUGUGCAAAAUUAAAUUUAUGCUGAAUCCAUGUGUAUUACCUACUGUGCAUGAGCAGCAUGAAAUAUACCAUAAAGCAAAUCAGCACAGAGCCAUGCUCUUAAUUGCUAAUGGCUUUCAACACACUUCAUUGUGGUCUAACCAAACUUGGACUCUGCUCUACACUAAGAAUCCUGCUCGUAUCAAGGUUGAAAAUGCUUCUCCCAGAGAACUUCUGGAGAACCGAAGGACCAAACAGAAAUGCUUUUGAGCCAGUCUUUCUAGAGCCUGUGUCUUUUAGAGCACAGAUUCUGUGCUUUGCACUAAUGUGAUCGAUACAGUUGCUACAUAGGACAUGAUUUUGCUGAAAAUGAACAAAUCAAUGUCAACUUUUUAAAAGUGGAAUAUAAGAAAUAACCCCAGGAUUCAGUCCAAGUUCUGCCAAUUUGGGUUUCUGGUUCCAUAUAGUAAAACAUAGGGAUUAGAAUGGUUGAUUUCCACCC